rnacentral:rRNA from 1 species
ACGGAAGGCAGCAGUGGGGGAUAUUGCACAAUGGGGGAAACCCUGAUGCAGCGACGCCGCAUGAGUGAAGAAGUAUUUCGGUAUGUAAAGCUCUAUCAGCAGGAAAGAUAAUGACGGUACCUGACUAAGAAGCACCGGCUAAAUACGUGCCAGCAGCCGCGGUAAUACGUAUGGUGCAAGCGUUAUCCGGAUUUACUGGGUGUAAAGGGAGCGCAGACGGCAUGGCAAGCCAGAUGUGAAAGGUGGGGGCUCAACCCCCAAGCUGCAUUUGGAACUGUCAAGCUAGAGUAUCGGAGAGGUAAGUGGAAUCCCUAGUGUAGCGGUGAAAUGCGUAGAUAUUAGGAAGAACACCGGUGGCGAAGGCGGCCUGCUGGACGGUAACUGACGUUGAGGCUCGAAAGCGUGGGGAGCAAACAGGAUUAGAUACCCUGGUA